UCAUGUAUAUCGGUGUUCCAUCCAGUGAGUAUUGAGAUUUCAAUUUGCUAGUAAGAUUUUUUUAGUCUAUUCUAUUAUCAUUUAUUUUAAAAUCUUUUAAAUUAUUGUUUAAAUUUAAAGGGCUCGGACAAAAAUAGUUUAUUCUACAUAUAGUCGAAAAUCUGCCAAAGAAGUAAGAGAUAAAUUGUUGGAGUUACAUGUGAAUUAUUAUGUUUUAGAAGAGGCAUGGUGUGUUGUGAGAACUAAGCCUGGUUGCAGUAUGCUUGAAAUCUGGGAUGUGGAAGACCCUUCCAAUGCAGCUAACCCUCCCUUAUGUAGCGUCCUGCUCGAAGACGCCAGGCCUUACUUCACCACAGUAUUUCAGAAUAGUGUGUACAGAGUAUUGAAGGUUAACUGAGAAGGAUACUACCCAUUAUACUAUGGCACAAUGCCGUGUGUCAAAAACAAUCACCCUUUGGCUUAUUCACAUUAAUAAAAAUCACAAGCUUUAAUAACAGACACUUAAGAUAAAAAUGGAUUGGAAAUUUUUCUGAUUACUAAAAGGUAAAUUACUUUUCUGUUCAUUGAAUGUCAGCCUUAUUAAGCUUGUCAUAUAAGUUAUUAAAUCAUUCAUGUCAUACUGCUUAAACAAAUGUUCAUUUCAGAAUUUUAAAGAGAAAUGUAUAUAAAAGAACAAUGAAUUUUAAUAAAUCAGGGGUACGUAAGUCCUUUUUCAUCCAACUAGGUGAAUUGCUUCAGAUUUUCUCUAGUACCAGAGGGUACCUGCUCAGACUCUUUGAACCACUUAAGGCAGAAGAAUGCAAGCUCUGAAAUGACAUCCUUAAAAUGCUGAUACUGGUCACAG
rnacentral:sRNA from 1 species